rnacentral:misc_RNA from 1 species
AAGUCGUAACAAGGUUUCCUUCUAGGGUAUCACCCUCUGAAGCCUUCCACACCGACUCUAAAUAAAUGUGUAGUCUGUCCGCAGGCAAUGCCGUUAUAAUGCUGAAAUCAUCUUUUUGUUGAAUCAGCAGCCAGGGUUUAACUAUUCUGGCUCACAGAUCAAAACACGGUAACCAUUUAAUGGGUAAGAUAUGACCGGUCUUAACUAUCAUUAGUUAAAGAAUCCACGUUCCGUAGGUGAACCUGCGGAAGGAUCAUUACUGAGACCGGGUGCUUCGGCGCCCGACCUUCAACCCUAUGU